GCACACCUAAUCUCUCAUCUCUCUCUCUCUCUAUUACGCUCUCCCGAUCUCCCUUUAGACCGCCACCGCCGAUCUAUUGAUUAUCCACGAUUGUCACUAAUCGCUCGCGCCUGUAAGUUCUUCAUUCUUCUUCAAUAAUUUGUGUUUUUUUUCCUUUUGUUCAAGAAGGCUGAAAGUUCUUCAAUUUUCUCCAAUAAUUUUUUUUUUUCUUUUUCUUCAACAAGGCUGGAGCUUAUGAAUCAACUGAAGAAAUCAAUGAGGCGAUUGAACCCAUGGAAAGACCUCCUGUGUGAAAAAACUCAUUGAAUCUAGGACAAAUGUAUGUUUUUUACCAUUCCCUUAUCUUCUCUAUUGAGGCAUUUUCAAGUAAUAUGUCUUUACAUAUUUGUUGGUGUUCGUAAUUUAUGGGGCUAAUCUUGAAUAUUGGGCCAGAUUUUAAUGUUUAAUUCACUAAAUGAAGACGAAAGGCACAUGCAUGUUAUUUCACUCUCUUAUAAUUUUAUCAGUUAUUUCAUUUGAUAAUUUAUUCAUAUAGAUAGGCUCAUGAAAAAGCUCAAGACUGGGAUACUUGCAAAUAAUUUAGAGGAGAUUGUUUAUAUUUUUGAAUAAUUCAGAGAAGACUAUGUCAUUUAAGUUUCCUGUAUAUGAAAGGCUCAUUAUUCACAAAUACAUAUCAAAUCUGGGUCAAAACCAUUCACUUAAGAUUACAUAUACGAAAUAUGAUCUUUCAUUUUAUUUAAUUUAAUCUCCAAUAUGUAAAAAUUAACUACUGAAUGUCUGGACAAAUGUGUUAUGCCUUGGGUCUGAGAGGUGUUGCAACAGGUUCUCAAAUGGUCCUUUCCUAGUCACAUCGUGCUGAACUACAAAUCCUAAGGAUGCACAGGCAUGUUAUUGUAGUCUCUUCUAAUUUUAUCGAGAUAUGGCAAUGAAGAAGCUGGCUGGGAUGCAAAUGCAACCUCUGAGGUCUAUCAGGUAUUAAUUAACUGCCUUAUUGCUUUAGAUUUUCAUUUUAAAUUUUAGCUUGUACUCUUUGUAUAAGAUUUUAGAUUUCAUUCUAAUUCAACUUUGCAGUUUUGUGGAGUAAUUUCUAGUUUGCUGACUAUUUUCCACUAGGUUUUUUUGUGCAAAGUCAAAAUCGACCAACCCAACCCAAUCUGACCGUAACUUGAUUAGGUUGGGUUGGAUUGGUUUGAAAGACAUAAAUGGGUUGGGUUGAUUUUCAAUCCAAACCAAUCGUGUUGGGUUGGGUUGGGUUUGAGUCAAAAAUCAACCCAACCCAAUCCAUGCCCACCCCUAAUUAAGAUAGCCCUUAUCCCAUGCCCAGAAGCAUCAGUCUCAAUUGUGAAGACUUGUAAAAAAUUCUGGAAGAGCCAAUACAGACAUUGUCGUCAUUGCUUCUUUCAAUUUUGUGAAGGUGGACUCCGUUGCGUCAUUCCACCCGAAGCUAUCUUACUCUAGUAGUUGAGUUCACGGCCAAGCUAUCUUUCCAUAGGAUCCCACAAAUCGUCGAUAAUAUCUAGUCAACACCCACCCUGCAGUUCUUUAAGUGUCUGAGGACGUGGCCAGUCUUUCAUAGUAGAUAACCUGUAUUUGUCUGUCACCACUCCAUUGUCUAAUAUGAUGUGCCCAAGAUACUCUAUCCCCGUUUGCCCAAAUGAACAUUUCUUCUUGUUUGCAAAGAGCUGGUUUUCUACUAGAAUUCAGCUCCACCAGAUUGAUAGACUCUGCCUCUGAAUUCAGCUGGAAUCCACCUGGAGUCAAGAUGAGAAUAGCACAGAGACAGAAAUAAAAUUCUGUAUUGAUUUGGAAAUGGAAUUACAAAACACGAAAGGAUUUACAAGCAGCAGUUAGAGAGGACUAUGACUCUCCACGCACUGAUUUCACUCACUAAAAUUAACAUAUCUUUCUUCUCUCAAUCUUUUUCUAUUUAUAGACUCAUGUAAUAGAUUUUGGCUACCUCACCACACCUGUCUAACAGAAUUUGUUACCCUCUCCUUUCUCCAUUCUGAUUGUUUCUUCUAGAAUAUGUGUAUUUAAUUGGGGACUUAUCAGUUGUCUUAUUUUCUGAAUGAAUUGUUGAGAACUUAAUGUGUCAUGUUAGGUUUUAUGUAAUUGGUGAUUUUGUGAACAAAAAAGACUAAAUUGAACACGUGUAAAGUCAAGGAGUUAGGUACAAUUUUGUAUAGACAAGUCAGGCAAGUUAGGAUUCGAGUCCGAAAUAAGAAAAGAAGAGACGUCACAUUUUCGCUAGCUACUGGCCAAAACAUUGUUCGAGCGACAAAAACAGAAUGAUUGUCGCUAGCCUGUCACUCGGACUUUGCUCAAUUUAAAGUCUGUCGCUCAUUUUUUGCUGGAGUGACCGUGUUAUGUGACCAACCCUAAUUUGCAAUUUUGAAAAGUUUUACAUGGACUAUAAUACCUAAAAAUCUGUAAAUAUAAAUAUCCAAGCUUUGUACUUUUUUAUGGUGGUUGUUCAUUAUGCCUCAUAUACAUAUCAUAUUCAUAUCAAUCUUUUGGUGAUCCAAGACUCACUCAUAGCUUGAUUCAAUCCUUUGAUUCUUGAGAUCUUGCAACCACAUAUUUGGGAAAACAUCAAAUACUUGAAUCCAAAACACCUAACUUCUUAACACUGUAAGGAAGAGACUUUUUUAGUUGGGCAUUGGGAGAGGUGGACUGCAAGCACGGGAAAGCAUAAGAAUUGACUAUUCUUGAAAUUCCG
rnacentral:lncRNA from 1 species